rnacentral:rRNA from 1 species
UACGAAGGGUGCAAGCGUUACUCGGAAUUACUGGGCGUAAAGAGCUCGUAGGCGGUGUGUCGCGUCGGCCGUGAAAACCUGGGGCUCAACUCUGGGCGUGCGGUCGAUACGGGCAUCACUGGAGUUCGGCAGGGGAGACUGGAAUUCCUGGUGUAGCGGUGAAAUGCGCAGAUAUCAGGAGGAACACCGGUGGCGAAGGCGGGUCUCUGGGCCGAUACUGACGCUGAGGAGCGAAAGCGUGGGGAGCGAACAGG